rnacentral:lncRNA from 1 species
AAAAGACCCAGUCCCAUUUAACGGCAAAUUUGACAGUAACUCAGAUGAAAUUAUUAAUGUUUAGUAACCAUUGGAAAACCAUGAAGCUAGAGGAAGAAAAGAUGUUAAAGUGAGGAACUAAAGGCAGCCUGAGUUGGUGCAAAAGACUGAAAUUCUGAAGCUGAAAGUCGGGCAAGCAUGGUAUAGGGGCCUCACUGAACUGGAGAGUCAAACACACAAGAACACGAUGGUAGAGUAGGAGCUGUGCAGCCACACUUCUGACAGAAAUCUCCUCAUUGGGCAUCAUUGGGAUGUUCUGGCCCAAAAUACAGAUAUCAAUUUAGACUGUGUUUCUAGAGUAACAGCUAGACAAAGCAAGAAUUGAAAGACAACAGAUGGUGCAUCAGGCUCCAUCCUCCCAUCUUUGGAGGAAUAUCGAACAGAGUAAGAGAGACUGUCUUCCCUUAUGAACCAGCUUUGUGAUCCCAGCCCAAGGUUUUUAUCCGAGCAUGAACCAUCUGGCUUUGCGUGGGGUGAAAGUGUGUCAGCUUCCCCGAAGAAUUUCAGCAUCAGGCAAGGGGCGCGGGCCGGGAGCCUCUGCUCGCUGGAGAGCUAGCCUCUGCCCUUUGAACUUCUCCACCUUCCCACCAGUUCCCCCAAAACGACUCCGCGAAAACAGGAGUCAGCCCCUGAAAAGCAUACCAGGCAUUUUUAAACCCAACCCUGACAUUUCCUCAGCAUUUCCAUGGCUAAGACUCUUCCCGCACGCAACCUUUCCCCCACCCCCCUUCAAUCAAAUAGGCACCCGCUCUCUCAUGCUACUGCAAAGAAGGAAGAAAAAAAAAGUUGGCAAUUUAAUUCAAACAAAAGAAGCUUGAAAUCUAUAAGCACAGCAACUCCGAGGCUUCUGGCAAAUAGAAUUCUAAUUAGUAUGCUGCUAUUUUUC